rnacentral:lncRNA from 1 species
CGAGCGACACGCCGCCCUCGCCGUCCAGUGGCAGCUCCCCGACAACGCCGGGUGGAGGUGGAGGCUACACGCCGACACCGAGCGACACGCCGCCCUCGCCGUCCAGUGGCAGCUCUCCCACUACACCGGGUGGAUGCUCCACUCCCACGCCGUGCGGCAUGCCGCCCGCGCCGUCGAGUGGCACCUCUCCGACCACACCGGGUGGAAGCUACUACCCGCCCACGCCGUCCAUUGGCGACGUGCCACCCUCGCCGUCCAGCGACACCUCUCCGACCACACCGGGCGGAGGCUCCCGUCCACGCCAUGCGACACGCCGCCCUUGCCGUCCAGUGGCACGUCCCCGACCACGCCAGGUGGAGGCUACUACCCGCCCACGCCAUCCGUCGGCGACGUGCCUCCCUCGCCGGCCAGUGGCACCUCCCCAUCCACGCCAGGUAGUGGAGGCUACUCUCCGUCCACGCCAUGCAGUGCGCCGCCGUUGCCUUCAAGUGGAACCUCCCCAACCACGCCGGGUGGAGGCUAUUCUCCUUCCACGCCGUGCAAUGCGCCGCCCUCCCCUUCAAGUGACACCUCCCCGACG